GAUCGAAUGGGGAGAUUCAUCGUCAACGCACUUUCGUACAUAUGAGUUAUGAUGCGGGUUACUCUCGAGUAUUGCCUGCACGUACUUGUAUAUUUGAAGGUGUUGUCGGCGUGCACUUCUCCCCUAGUAGAACAUCGCGACCCGUUGGGUGUCGGUUUAUGGCCCAAGUGGUUGCCUUUAUUGUUUUUAACAUUAAAGACCCUUGGUGUUCUAACCGGCUACUCGACGGUACUCGUACGGUAUUUAGCCGCAUUUAUGCGUCUGUAUCCGUUGCAAGUGAGGUUAGUUUCUGGUAUACGGACCUAGUGCCGUCGCUGGAGCUCACCCUCUGUUGGUAACGGAAUCUAAGACUGGCUAACACAUACCGGUCUGCGAUGCUACUGCUUUGGGUACUUUCAGGACCCGUCUUGAAACACGGACCAAGGAGUCUAACAUGUACGCGAGUCAUUGGGAUUCGUAAAGUAAACCUAAAGGCGUAAUGAAAGUAAAAGUCAUCCUUGCGGUGACUGAGGGAGGAUAAGUUGUGCUACGAUACAGCUUCGCACUCUCGGGGCGUCUCAUCUCAUGCGAG
rnacentral:rRNA from 1 species